rnacentral:rRNA from 1 species
UGCCAGCCGCCGCGGUAAUACGGAGGGUGCUACCGUCAUCCGGAAUCAUUGGGUUUAAAGGGUCCGCAGGCGGACUAAUAAGUCAGUGGUGAAAUCCCAUCGCUUAACGAUGGAACUGCCAUUGAAACUGUUAGUCUUGUAUUCGGUCGAAGUGGGCGGAAUGUGUCAUGUAGCGGUGAAAUGCAUAGAUAUGACACAGAAUACCGAUUGCGAAGGCAGAUCACUACAAAUUAAUUGACGCUAAGGGACGAAAGCGUGGGUAGCGAACAGGAUUAGAUA